rnacentral:ncRNA from 1 species
AAUCACUAGGGGAGCUAUGGCUGAGAAGAUAUAAUCUGACCCUUAGAACCUGAAGCAGUUAACACUGCCGUAGGAAAGUGACGUAUUAA